rnacentral:lncRNA from 1 species
CACUAUUCUCUAAAAUCCAUUUGCAUAUGAACUUCAAAACUCAUAUUCGACAAACUGGCAAAUCCGGCAGUUGAUAGAAGAAUCGACCCUUCGCCAACAAAAUUAUUUUCAUAAAUCCUUGCUUCCAAAGAAAAACCCAUACGUCGGAAUAUUUCUAUAAACAAGUUAAAAACCAUAGUCACUAAAAAUGUAUCCAAGAAACUAUUAAAGCCACAAACAGUUCCUUAUUUUAUCCAUUUCAAGGCACCAGAACAUUAUGGGUUAUAUUGCUCAGUCGAUCGUCACUUCUUUUUUGAAAGUUGGCUUAUUUCACAACAUACACAUCUCGAAUAACCUCAAUUCCUAUCUGAAUUCGAUGAAUAAAAAUGAAGAAGAAUGCAAAGAUUUGGUCGCAAAAGUUUUAAUCCAUUACCAAGAAAUUACCAAGAGAAACCAAAUUAGUCAAUUCUAAUGCUUUCUCCACCAUGGCCAACCUCUUUCAACCGCAGUUUGCUUUGAAUUUUCGGGUUCAGACUCCCUACGACUUUCCCACUAGCUAAGAACUCAGUGGGAGAAUUUUUACUAGAAGAACAAUCCCACAUAAUUGAAUUGGUGAAGGUUGAAAUUAGAAGUGGAGAAAGAGACAUGUAGCAAGCCAUG